AUGAAGGGCGGGUCCUGCAUCCGAGGCAUCCCCGAUCCAUCCAGCAUCUUCUCGCGCAGUCUUCUUCGACCCGCUGCCACAGUCCCGGCGCCCCAGGCCCUGCGCAGAUGAAGACCCUCCCCCGGACGGCUUUGCGGGCCCUGCCUCAGCCGGCGCCCCCUUCUCUCCUGCAGGACCCGGACCCGCGCUGCAGGGGCUGAGUGCCCCCUGGGUCGGCGUCUGAGUCUUGCCUCCCCGUAGGCUCAGUACCUGGCACGUGUCCAAGGCUCAGCAGCUGUACCACAACCACCCAACAGGAGAGAAGGAAAGGAGAGGUGCACCCCGGGGAUGUGGUGAGGCCAUCCCGUCAUGGGGAAUCAGAAAAGGACUGCGUCUUAGCCAGCCAGCUGGGGGAAGAGGAGGCAGCACCGGGCAGAGGGGCCCUUGAGAGAUGUCACCAUCCUGUUAAGAAAGGGCUGGACCACAGCGCUGCAGAGGUGAGCUCUGUUCAUUGGAGGUCUGGGGCUUGGCAUCCCGCAAGUGCCCACAGUUCCCCUGGUGUGAUGUUCUCUGGGAAGUAGGUAGAGGAGUGACGAGGGUGGCUUCGUCCUGGCCUUCUCUGGGGCCUUCAAGAACACACCUGGUUUCUAUUUAUGCCCUUGAUUCUGAGAGCUCUUCCUCAAAUGUUGGCAGCAGAACGUGUGAGUUGAAGCAGGGAAGGGAGUUUGGCAUAUCCACCUGUACGUGGGUCUCCGUCACUUCUCUGCCGCCUCCUAGCUUUGGGACCUUCUCUUACCUCUGGUUUCACCCUCUGGAAAGCAGGACUCAAAUGAGGCUAUUUGUCUUCAGAUCACAUGGCAUCUGUCUUUUACAACCUGAGACCUCUUUCACUUUUCCUUCGGAGGCCUCUCCUGUCUGGGCCACGGGGAAGGCUUUGUGCAGGACUGGAAGCAGUUGCUGGGUCCUUGGGCUCCACUGGGUUCACUACUCCCAGGCCUUUUCCAUGGGCCUCCUUUUCCAGCAAGCCCCCGUCUUUCCCUGCCCCUGCACUUGGACAUGAUCACCGGCUGCCCAUGGCCCGUUGGUAGGCAGUGCGGGCGGAGGGAGCGUGGGCGGGUUGUCCCGCGCUUGGAGAGUCUGCUUCCUUACCCUGCAGUUCCAGGAGCUUUCCCACCCUCCUGCUGCUCCCCUCAUACUCCUGGAGCCUCCAGGGCUUCAGGGGCUGUCCUGUGUGCGUUAGUGUCAUUGUUGGGGCUUUUAUUUCCUGCCCUGCUGUUGGGAACCGGACUACAUGUGCUGCGUGAGUUCCCCUGAAUGUUCAGUUGCUGCCACUCGGCCAUGGCAUGUUCCCAUGGGCCUGGCCUUGACACCCUUUUCUGCCCACCACUGGUGAAUGGCACGCUGAUUAGCGCUGGCCACCCUGCCGCAGGCCAUCCGCCGUCUCCCUCUUUAGAGUUAACUACUGUUCUUUUUAUGAGGAAACGGCGUGUCUAUUCAGGAAAUGAUCACUGCCAGCAUCUGCAGAGUGCUUACUGUCUGGCGGCUUCUGUGCUGAGCCCUUUUCUGCUGCCUGCCAUGCGCUGUAUGAGCAGGGGCAAGGCAGGUGCUCAUUCUCAGCUUCUUGUCCGAUGCAGAUGAGUCCACGGUGUGCAGAGGCCGUCGUGGAAGUUGUGGUGUCAGGAGCGCUGUAGACCGCAGUGUCCUUGAGGUGAGAGCUCUGGUCCAUCCUCUGGAGUGUUGGGGCCUCACAGUAGUCACGUGAGUUCUCAGGGCCCUGGGUGCAGAUGGAGGGGAGCUGAGAGGUGAGAUGAAGGCAGCACCCACGAGUCCCAGAUCUGCUCACCACCUCAGCCCCAAGCAACCUUGAUCACCCCUGCACGUGUCUUCAGUGGCCGCCAGGGGUGGGCCUCGUGUCCCACUUGGGUACUGGGAGCUCCGGUUCAGGAGUGUCUGCCCUCCGUCCCUCGAGCGUGGGCAGAGCAUAUUGGGAUGGAAAGUGGGUGGACCAGAGAUGCUUUCCCUCUGAGUUUGAUGCCCCUUUUGCCGCCAUCUCAGUUUGCGACCUUGUCUUCUUCAUUUGAAAAUCCAAGCUAUGACAGAGAUGAUUUUGUGGUACUUAGGACCGCAAAAUGCCUAUAAUUUCCAGCCAUGAUAUUUCCUCACUGUUUUUGCCCAAAGUGACUCCUCUUUGAUUCCCUUUGGCAGGGAGGUCCUGUUGGGCUUUCACAGGAAAGAAUGGCCACCCCUGGGCUUCUGUGCUUGGCCGAGUCUUUUUGCUAGACUCAGUGUAUCCUCUAGGCCACUGGCACCUGCUCAUCUUCGUAGAUCUCUCUCUGCCUUGCGUGCACCUGCAUUCAAAAGUGACCACGGGCUGGCCGUGCUCUGGUCGUUGAUAAUGCAGGGAGAGGAAUUGUGGAAAGCAGUUUCCCGAAUUUGGAGGGUCCACACCUGUCCCUUUCAAAUGCUGGCGCUUUCACACACUCCUGCUUCUCUCCAGCCCAUGCUUUCUGCACUCAGGCACUGGGAGCUGCGUGUGACAGGCAGUGACAGGAGACUUCCAAGCCUAAGCUUCCUGUUAUCAGAGCCAGGCUGUGUCGUGUCGUGUUGAGAUACUUUAGGGGGUGUAAGGAGCCAGGAUGAAUUACGCAUAAUGAAUAAGUAUGGUGUUGGGGGGGUACAUAGUGAUUGGCAUAAGACUUUCUAGGGGAAGCAGCUCUUUGGAGGUGGUGGACUGGGCAGGCCUUUGAAGGGGCGGGUGUCAUAGGCAACAGGAAGGGCUUCGAGGGGAGGGGAGGCACACAAGGGUGACUUGAGGCAGGGGUGAGCACGAGCACCGGGGAGUCAGGUGCACAGAUAAGUGAUGGCUCUGGGAAGUGGGGGACGGCUGCUGGGGUGGUGGGCUAAACAGUAGGAGAGAACAAGCUCUCCAGCCAUCUCUCUGCCAAUUCCCUUUACUCUGUCACCCUGAGAAGACCCAUUUUUCCAAGACAGUGUUCAUUCUGACUCUUCUCUGGGAGCAUUGAGAUUCCUUUUUGAGCCAAGUUUGGUGUGGAAAAAAACACUGCAGCUCAUCUCUGACUAAUUGGGGACGCUUUCAUGGAUGUCACCUUAAAGAAAGAUGAGGUAAUACUGGAAUUCCCUUUGUGACUCAGCGGAAAUGAACCCGACUCGUAUCCAUGAGGAUGCGGGUUUGAUCCCUGGCCUGGCUCAGUGGGUUAAGGAUCUGGCAUUUCCAUGAGCUGUGGUGUAGGUCGCAGAUGCAGCUUGGAUCCUGCGUUGCUGUAGCCUAGGAUGGCAGCUACAGCUCUGAUUCAAUCCCUACCCUGAGAACUUCCAUAUCCUGUGGGUGCGGCCCUAAAAAGAGAAAAGAAAAAAAAAUAGAUGAGGUAAUAUUGGGGAGCAAACUCUUGUCAUGCCCUCCUGGUCUGUGGCCUCCUCAUUGCUCUAGGGGUGCUGCUUUGGAAGAAGCCUCGGGGGUCAGAACCACUCGCCCUCUCAAGGUGAGGACCUGGGUCCCAGCUCCCCCGGAGGGUCCUCCUCAUGGUAUUUAGGGGCUGACCGCGGACACUGGCGUAGCAGCGUGAAGCAGGAUGUUGUCGCAUGACCAUCGCCAAACCUUUCUCUUCUGUUGCCUCAGCACAGCGUGGAAGGACUCUGCCCUCUGUGUGAACAGGGCAGAGGGGACGUUCUGGGGCUCCAGGGACUUGGGAUUCAGAGCUGGAGACCUUCUACUGGCUCCCAGCAGGUGCCUCAGAACACUGCUGACCAGGAAGACUGUCUCUUCCCAUCUGGACCAGGUCAUCCCGUGGCUUCUGUGUCUCCCAUUUGCUCCUAGUAUAACUUUUUAGAACCAGGAGUUCCUGUUGGAGUCUUGUGUGCCAUGCAUCUUAUCUUCUCACCCACUUAAAUAAAUCUCGAAACUG
rnacentral:lncRNA from 1 species